rnacentral:rRNA from 1 species
UACGUAGGGACCGAGCGUUGUCCGGAAUCAUUGGGCGUAAAGAGCGUGUAGGCGGCCUGUUAAGUCUUGCGUGAAAUCUCGGGGCUCAACCCCGAGCGGUCGUGAGAAACUGGCAGGCUAGAGUGCGGGAGAGGAGAGUGGAAUUCCUGGUGUAGCGGUGAAAUGCGCAGAUAUCAGGAAGAACACCCGUGGCGAAGGCGGCUCUCUGGAACGCAACUGACGCUGAGACGC